rnacentral:rRNA from 2 species
UUGGAUCCAGACUUUGAUCAUGGCUCAGGAUGAACGCUAGCUACAGGCUUAACACAUGCAAGUCGAGGGGAAACGACAUCGAAAGCUUGCUUUUGAUGGGCGUCGACCGGCGCACGGGUGAGUAACGCGUAUCCAACCUGCCCACCACUUGGGGAUAACCUUGCGAAAGUAAGACUAAUACCCAAUGAUAUCUCUAGAAGACAUCUGAAAGAGAUUAAAGAUUUAUCGGUGAUGGAUGGGGAUGCGUCUGAUUAGCUUGUUGGCGGGGUAACGGCCCACCAAGGCAACGAUCAGUAGGGGUUCUGAGAGGAAGGUCCCCCACAUUGGAACUGAGACACGGUCCAAACUCCUGCGGGAGGCAGCAGUGAGGAAUAUUGGUCAAUGGACGAGAGUCUGAACCAGCCAAGUAGCGUGCAGGAUGACGGCCCUAUGGGUUGUAAACUGCUUUUAUAAGGGAAUAAAGUGAGUCUCGUGAGACUUUUUGCAUGUACCUUAUGAAUAAGGACCGGCUAAUUCCGUGCCAGCAGCCGCGGUAAUACGGAAGGUCCGGGCGUUAUCCGGAUUUAUUGGGUCUAAAGGGAGCGUAGGCCGGAGAUUAAGCGUGUUGUGAAAUGUAGACGCUCAACGUCUGCACUGCAGCGCGAACUGGUUUCCUUGAGUACGCACAAAGUGGGCGGAAUUCGUGGUGUAGCGGUGAAAUGCUUAGAUAUCACGAAGAACUCCGAUUGCGAAGGCAGCUCACUGGAGCGCAACUGACGCUGAAGCUCGAAAGUGCGGGUAUCGAACAGGAUUAGAUACCCUGGUAGUCCGCACGGUAAACGAUGGAUGCCCGCUGUUGGUCUGAAUAGGUCAGCGGCCAAGCGAAAGCAUUAAGCAUCCCACCUGGGGAGUACGCCGGCAACGGUGCAACUCAAAGGAAUUGACGGA